AGGCAGCAGUAGGGAAUCUUCCACAAUGGGCGCAAGCCUGAUGGAGCAACACCGCGUGAGUGAAGAAGGGUUUCGGCUCGUAAAGCUCUGUUGUUGGAGAAGAACGUACCUGAGAGUAACUGUUCAGGUAGUGACGGUAUCCAACCAGAAAGUCACGGCUAACUACGUGCC
rnacentral:rRNA from 1 species